rnacentral:rRNA from 1 species
GAUGAACGCUGGCGGCGUGCCUAAUACAUGCAAGUCGAGCGAAUGGAUUAAGAGCUUGCUCUUAUGAAGUUAGCGGCGGACGGGUGAGUAACACGUGGGUAACCUGCCCAUAAGACUGGGAUAACUCCGGGAAACCGGGGCUAAUACCGGAUAAUAUUUUGAACUGCAUGGUUCAAAAUUGAAAGGCGGCUUCGGCUGUCACUUAUGGAUGGACCCGCGUCGCAUUAGCUAGUUGGUGAGGUAACGGCUCACCAAGGCAACGAUGCGUAGCCGACCUGAGAGGGUGAUCGGCCACAGUGGGGCUGGGACGCGGCCCAGACUCCUACGGGAGGCAGCAGUAGGGAAUCUUCCGCAAUGGACGAAAGUCUGACGGAGCAACGCCGCGUGAGUGAUGAAGGCUUUCGGGUCGUAAAACUCUGUUGUUAGGGAAGAACAAGUGCUGGUUGAAUAAGCUGGCACCUUGACGGUACCUAACCAGAAAGCCACGGCUAACUACGUGCCAGCCGCCGCCGUAA